rnacentral:rRNA from 1 species
UACAGAGGGGGCAAGCGUUAUUCGGAAUUAUUGGGCGUAAAGGGCGCGUAGGCGGCUUGGCAAGUGGAUGGUGAAAUCCCUCGGCUUAACCGAGGAACUGCCGUCCAAACUGCUUAGCUUGAGACCGGGAGAGGUGAGUGGAAUUCCCAGUGUAGCGGUGAAAUGCGUAGAGAUCGGGAAGAACGCCGGCGGCGAAAGCGACUCUCUGGUCGGACCCUGACGCUGAGGCGCGAAAGCUAGGGGAGCAAACGGG